rnacentral:rRNA from 1 species
AACGAAUAAACUUGAUCAGGCUGUUGCUGGCCCCCUUGCAGGGGUAUGUGCACGCUUGUCAUAUUUAUCAUUUCUCCAACUGUGCACAUAUUGUAGACCUGGAUCUUUUUUGAAGAAAUUCAAGUUGGGGGACUGCUGUGCUCUUUGUUUUUUUUUCAAGAGUCGGCUUUCCCUCGUAUUUUUCAGGUCUAUGUCAUUUUCACAACCUCUAGAAUGUGUUUAGAAUGUUGAAUCAUAUAUAAAGUUAAUAUACAACUUUCAGCAACGGAUCUCUUGGCUCUCGCAUCGAUGAAGAACGCAGCGAAAUGCGAUAAGUAAUGUGAAUUGCAGAAUUCAGUGAAUCAUCGAAUCUUUGAACGCAUCUUGCGCUCCUUGGUAUUCCGAGGAGCAUGCCUGUUUGAGUGUCAUUUGACUUCUCUCAACCACAUCGUCUUUUCAAUGUGGCUUGGAUGUGGGGGAAUUUCUUUGCAGGCUUUUUAUUUGUUUAAGAAGCCGGCUCCCCUGAAAUGCAUUAGUGGUGUCUGAGCUGCUAUUGGUGUGAUAAAUCUAUCUAUGCCUUUGGUGAUGCUGGUCAGCACUGCUUAUAACAAGACAAAAAUUCAUU